AGUAAAUAGAUACCCGGGUAGUCCACGCCCUAAACGAUGUCAACUAGAUGUUGGAAGGGUUAAACCUUUUAGUGUCGUAGCUAAACGCGUGAAAGUUGACCGCCUGGGGAGUACGGCCGCAAGGCUAAAACUCAAAGGAAUUGACGGGGACCCGCACAAGCGGUGGAUGAUGUGGAUUAAUUCGAUGCAACGCGAAAAACCUUACCUACCUUGACAUGUCAGGAAUCCUUGAGAGAUUGAGGAGUGCCCGAAAGGGAGCCUGAACACAGGUGCUGCAUGGCUGUCGUCAGCUCGUGUCGUGAGAUGUUGGGUUAAGUCCCGCAACGAGCGCAACCCUUGUCAUUAAUUGCCAUCAUUUAGUUGGGCACUUUAAUGAGACUGCCGGUGACAAACCGGAGGAAGGUGGGGAUGACGUCAAGUCCUCAUGGCCCUUAUGGGUAGGGCUUCACACGUCAUACAAUGGUCGGUUCAGAGGGUUGCCAACCCGCGAGGGGGAGCUAAUCUCAGAAAGCCGAUCGUAGUCCGGAUUGCAGUCUGCAACUCG
rnacentral:rRNA from 1 species